rfam:Dothistroma septosporum NZE10 unplaced genomic scaffold DOTSEscaffold_8, whole genome shotgun sequence.
ACAUACGACCACAGGACAAUGAAUAUAGGCCAUCCCGUCCGCUCUGGCGUUCUCAAGCAUUGUACCGCGAGAUUAGUACUACGGUGGGUGACCACGUGGGAAUACCUUGUGUUGUAUGUU